rnacentral:misc_RNA from 1 species
GAUGAAGAACGUAGCGAAAUGCGAUACGUAAUGUGAAUUGCAGAAUUCAGUGAAUCAUCGAGUCUUUGAACGCACAUUGCGCCCCCUGGUAUUCCGGGGGGCAUGCCUGUCCGAGCGUCAUUGCUGCCCUCAAGCACGGCUUGUGUGUUGGGCCUCCGCCCUCCUCCCGGGGGACGGGCCCGAAAGGCAGCGGCGGCACCGCGUCCGGUCCUCGAGCGUAUGGGGCUUCGUCACCCGCUCUUGUAGGCCCGGCCGGCGCUUGCCGACACAUCAAUCUUUUUUCCAGGUUGACCUCGGAUCAGGUAGGGAUACCCGCUGAACUUAAGCAUAUCAUAAGCGGAGGA